rnacentral:rRNA from 1 species
GAUGAACGCUGGCGGCGUGCUUAACACAUGCAAGUCGAACGAAGCAGAUUGAGAUCUUCGGAAGGAUAUCUGACUGAGUGGCGGACGGGUGAGUAACGCGUGGGUAACCUACCUCAUACAGGGGGAUAACAGUUAGAAAUGACUGCUAAUACCGCAUAAGCGCACAGUACCGCAUGGUACGGUGUGAAAAACUCCGGUGGUAUGAGAUGGACCCGCGUCUGAUUAGCUAGUUGGUGGGGUAACGGCCUACCAAGACGACGAUCAGUAGCCGACCUGAGAGGGUGACCGGCCACAUUGGGACUGAGACACGGCCCAAACUCCUACGGGAGGCAGCAGUGGGGAAUAUUGCACAAUGGGCGAAAGCCUGAUGCAGCGACGCCGCGUGAGUGAAGAAGUAUUUCGGUAUGUAAAGCUCUAUCAGCAGGGAAGAAAAUGACGGUACCUGACUAAGAAGCACCGGCUAAAUACGUGCCAGCCGCCGCCGUAACAC